rnacentral:rRNA from 1 species
UACAGAGGUCCCAAGCGUUGUUCGGAUUUACUGGGCGUAAAGGGUGCGUAGGUGGCGGGGUAAGUCGGAUGUGAAAUCUCCAGGCUCAACCUGGAAAUGGCAUUGGAAACUACCUUGCUGGAGAGUUGGAGGGGGGACUGGAAUACUUGGUGUAGCAGUGAAAUGCGUAGAUAUCAAGUGGAACACCAGUGGCGAAGGCGAGUCCCUGGACAACUUCUGACGCUGAGGCACGAAAGCUAGGGGAGCAAACAGG